UACGAGGGGGGCAAGCGUUGUUCGGAAUUACUGGGCGUAAAGGGCGUGUAGGCGGUUUCGUAUGUCUGGCGUGAAAGCCCCGGGCUCACCUCGGGAAGUGCGUCGGAAACUGCGAGACUAGAGUCCCGGAGAGGGAGGUGGAAUUCCAGGUGUAGCGGUGAAAUGCGUAGAUAUGUGGAAGAACACCGGUGGCGAAGGCGGCCCCCUGGACGGUGACUGACGCUGAGACGCGAAAGCGUGGGGAGCAAACAGG
rnacentral:rRNA from 1 species